UAGGGAAUCUUCGGCAAUGGACGGAAGUCUGACCGAGCAACGCCGCGUGAGUGAAGAAGGUUUUCGGAUCGUAAAGCUCUGUUGUUAGAGAAGAACGUUGGUAGGAGUGGAAAAUCUACCAAGUGACGGUAACUAACCAGAAAGGGACGGCUAACUACGUGCCAGCAGCCGCGGUAAUACGUAGGUCCCGAGCGUUGUCCGGAUUUAUUGGGCGUAAAGCGAGCGCAGGCGGUUCUUUAAGUCUGAAGUUAAAGGCAGUGGCUUAACCAUUGUACGCUUUGGAAACUGGAGGACUUGAGUGCAGAAGGGGAGAGUGGAAUUCCAUGGGUAGCGGUGAAAUGCGUGGGUAUAUGGAGGAACACCGGUGGCGAAAGCGGCUCUCUGGUCGGUAACUGACGCUGAGGCUCGAAAGCGUGGGGAGCAAACAGG
rnacentral:rRNA from 1 species